UGGGGAAUUUUGGACAAUGGGGGCAACCCUGAUCCAGCCAUGCCGCGUGAGUGAAGAAGGCCUUCGGGUUGUAAAGCUCUUUCAGCCGGAAAGAAAACGCACGGGUUAAUACCUUGUGUGGAUGACGGUACCGGAAGAAGAAGCACCGGCUAACUACGUGCCAGCAGCCGCGGUAAUACGUAGGGUGCGAGCGUUAAUCGGAAUUACUGGGCGUAAAGCGUGCGCAGGCGGUUUUGUAAGACAGAUGUGAAAUCCCCGGGCUUAACCUGGGAACUGCAUUUGUGACUGCAAGACUAGAGUACGGCAGAGGGGGGUAGAAUUCCACGUGUAGCAGUGAAAUGCGUAGAUAUGUGGAGGAAUACCGAUGGCGAAGGCAGCCCCCUGGGUCGAUACUGACGCUCAUGCACGAAAGCGUGGAGAGCAAACAGGAUUAGAUACCCUGGUAGUCCACGCCCUAAACGAUGUCAACUAGGUGUUGGGGGAGGAGACUUCCUUAGUACCGCAGCUAACGCGUGAAGUUGACCGCCUGGGGAGUACGGCCGCAAGGU
rnacentral:rRNA from 1 species